AGCUUUGCGCAGUGGCAGUAUCGUAGCCAAUGAGGUUUAUCCGAGGCACGAUUAUUGCUAAUUGAAAAAAAAAAAAAAUUGACUGGUGUGUAAACUGUGAACUUUCCAGGUACUCUGUGAUUUGACUUGGAAGAC